rnacentral:rRNA from 1 species
AGUGAACGCUGGCGGUAGGCCUAACACAUGCAAGUCGAACGGCAGCACAGUAAGAGCUUGCUCUUACGGGUGGCGAGUGGCGGACGGGUGAGGAAUACAUCGGAAUCUACUUUUUCGUGGGGGAUAACGUAGGGAAACUUACGCUAAUACCGCAUACGACCUACGGGUGAAAGCAGGGGAUCUUCGGACCUUGCGCGAUUGAAUGAGCCGAUGUCGGAUUAGCUAGUUGGCGGGGUAAAGGCCCACCAAGGCGACGAUCCGUAGCUGGUCUGAGAGGAUGAUCAGCCACACUGGGACUGGGACACGGUCCCAACUCCUAAGGGAAGGAGGAGGUGGGAAUAUUGGACAAUGGGCGCAAGCCUGAUCCAGCCAUACCGCGUGGGUGAAGAAGGCCUUCGGGUUGUAAAGCCCUUUUGUUGGGAAAGAAAAGCAGCAGGUUAAUACCCCGCUGUUCUGACGGUACCCAAAGAAUAAGCACCGGCUAACUUCGUG